AGUGAACGCUGGCGGUAGGCCUAACACAUGCAAGUCGAACGGCAGCACAGUAAGAGCUUGCUCUUACGGGUGGCGAGUGGCGGACGGGUGAGGAGUACAUCGGAAUCUACUUUUUCGUGGGGGAUAACGUAGGGAAACUUACGCUAAUACCGCAUACGACCUACGGGUGAAAGCAGGGGAUCUUCGGACCUUGCGCGAUUGAAUGAGCCGAUGUCGGAUUAGCUAGUUGGCGGGGUAAAGGCCCACCAAGGCGACGAUCCGUAGCUGGUCUGAGAGGAUGAUCAGCCACACUGGAACUGAGACACGGUCCAGACUCCUACGGGAGGCAGCAGUGGGGAAUAGUGGACAAUGGGCGCAAGCCUGAUCCAGCCAUACAGCGUGGGUGAAGAAGGCCUGCGGGUUGUAAAGCCCUUUUGUUGGGAAAGAAAAGCAGCAGGUUAAUACCCCGCUGUUCUGACGGUACCCAAAGAAUAAGCACCGGCUAACUUCGUG
rnacentral:rRNA from 1 species